ACCGAAUCCUGGCUCUGUAGAUGGAUCGGGAUGAAGAAUUACUUAUUCUUCUCCCUCCCCCGCCGCGCGCCGCCCCAUCCCUCCCCGCCGGCGAUUCGCCUCCUCCCUCCCCCGCCGCCGCGCUGCCAGCCUCCUACUUCCCCCGCCUGAUGCACCCCGAUGCCGCCGGACCAGACCCAUGCCGCGGCGACCCCAACUUACCCCGCCUUUCUCCUUCCUCCAGCGCGCAGCCCCGCCACCCCCUCCCCCCAGCGCGCAGCCCCGCAGCCCCUCCCUCCCCCCAGCGCGCAACCCCGCAGCCCCUCCCUCCAGUGCGCCGCCCGGCAUCCCCUCCCUCGAGCGUGCCGCCCCGCCAUGGUCCUCCCUCCAGUGUGCCGCCAGACCACGCUCUACGCAGCGCUUCCACGGGAUCCUCUGCACGCAGCCGGCGUCUCACCUCACGCCGCCGCACAACAUCUUCCUUGCUUGUCGGCGUCAUACAGGUUUCUUCGGCCGCCGCCCCGCCUGACCCAACUACCUCGCAUUUGCACUGGGACCGGCCUUCAUCGAAGUUUCUCCCAAUCCUUCGACCUCGUCGUGCCAUGCAGCAUGCUUCAGUUCAAGAAAAAUCUCAAUAAAAGUUCAGAGUAGUUCACACUUCAGUUAGCACCUGGCGUCGGCCGAGGCAACCAUCCCCACCUCCCCUGACCAGAUCCUCCAUGGCCCUCGGCCACGAGCUCGUCCACCAUGGUUACUCGCAGUCGUCCAAGUGGAGCACGGACAUCAGUCCAAGUAGAAUUGAAGCCACCAUCUUCACCAAGCUCUGCGUAGCCGUCCAAGUUGAGCACACACAACAAUCCAAGACCACUUAUUGGAAUUGGGGCUGCAAUUAAAGUAGCAAAAAUAUGAUGUAUUUCAAAUAUCAUGUUGAAAACAAGGAAGCUAACGACUCUUCAUCUCAAGGUAACUAGUUUCUGAACCUAUUAUCUAAAACUAAAAUUCUCAAGUUCCAAAACCUAAACAAACUUUGUGUUUAUUUUGAAUGAUAUUGUUCAUUAAACUUUUUUAGAGAGCAUCAGUUAAUGCUUAGUAGGCUAGAAUAAAAACUCUGAAUCAUGUAUCUUCUACAGCUAGCUUAUGUUGUCUUUGAAAUUGUUAUAAAUCAUUUCACAUUAAUAUUUUGUAUGUAUCAAUGGACUUGAAUAGUCCACCUGUGUGCUCUGCCGCUGGUCGUUCAGGAAGCUAACCCCUGAGCUCCCGAUCCCUCACCCUUCUCUCUCUCUCUCUCUCUCUGUGUGUGUGUGUGUGUGUACCAUUCAUUUGUUAGGGUGUGUUCCUUGUAAAUUCUCUCUCCCCUCUCUCAUUUCAUUUAUGUUCAGGAUACAAUGUGCAAGAUGGAAAAAAGUGUGUAUCGUGUAGUUCAUGUUUAGAUGUCGGGCAAGCUAAAAAAUUAGGGCUCAAGAAAUAAAAAAACCUGAACCACCGGGAAGGUCGCUGGAAACAAAUCCUCUAUAAGUUCACCAGUCCAUUCAUGAUAAGAUAUUCUAUGGAACAUUUGCAAACAGUAGGGAUUUUGUUUUUGGGUGUUUUCCGUUGAUCUGUGCUCAAGAAACAUGAGAGUCCUAUUGAUUAUUAGUGAGAGUACAAGCUCAGAGUUUGCAAGCCUUUUGUGAUUCUUAAGUGCAUAUGAUGUCUUACACUUGAUCUCUGAACUUCAGGUAAGUUCAUGUUGACACUAUAUCAAUCCUGAUGUAGAAAUGUAUGUCUGAUGUCAAGUUUUUCUUUCGGUUCAGUUCAAUAUCUAAAAUCCGUUCAAUUCAAUUCUUAUGUGUGGUCCAGGCAAUGUGUCGCACAGCCACCAACCUCCUCUGGUUGGACCGCAGCACCACCGGCCCGUCCACAACGGUUGCUGGCAGCCGUCCAAGUUGAGCGCUGAUGGUAGUCCUCUGCGUGCGUCAACGACACUCUCACAUCAAUCUCUCCCACUUUUCUUCUGCUAUUAAAAUGCAUACAUGUGUUCUGCUAAUUGAGUAGUUGGAGAUAUGUGAAAAGAACACGCUCUUUAGGUGUUCAGUACAAUUUAUUAAUUUAGUUCAGUUCAAAAAUCUUAUCUUAACAGUGUAAUAUACAUUGUUGGCAAAAGAUGACUAGUUGUUAUAGCAAAAA